rnacentral:rRNA from 1 species
AACGAACGCUGGCGGCAUGCCUAACACAUGCAAGUCGAACGAGAUCUUCGGGUCUAGUGGCGCACGGGUGCGUAACGCGUGGGAAUCUGCCCUUUGGUUCGGAAUAACAGUUGGAAACGACUGCUAAUACCGGAUGAUGACGAAAGUCCAAAGAUUUAUCGCCAGAGGAUGAGCCCGCGUAGGAUUAGCUAGUUGGUGUGGUAAAGGCGCACCAAGGCGACGAUCCUUAGCUGGUCUGAGAGGAUGAUCAGCCACACUGGGACUGAGACACGGCCCAGACUCCUACGGGAGGCAGCAGUGGGAAUAUUGAACAAUGGGCGAAAGCCUGAUCCAGCAAUGCCGCGUGAGUGAUGAAGGCCUUAGGGUUGUAAAGCUCUUUUACCCGGGAUGAUAAUGACAGUACCGGGAGAAUAAGCUCCGGCUAACUCCGUGCCAGCCGCCGCAGUAA